UCGGGAAUUUUGGGCAAUGGGCGAAAGCCUGACCCAGCAACGCCGCGUGAGGGAUGAAGUAUUUCGGUAUGUAAACCUCGAAAGAAUGGGAAGAAUAAAUGACGGUACCAUUUAUAAGCUCCGGCUAACUACGUGCCAGCAGCCGCGGUAAUAGGUAGGGAGCAAGCGUUGUUCGGAUUUACUGGGCGUAAAGGGCGCGUAGGCGGCGCGGUAAGUCACUUGUGAAAUCUCUGAGCUUAACUCAGAACGGCCAAGUGAUACUGCUGUGCUAGAGUGCGGAAGAGGCAACCGGAAUUCUUGGUGUAGCGGUGAAAUGCGUAGAUAUCAAGAGGAACACCUGAGGCGAAGGCGGGUUGCUGGGCCGACACUGACGCUGAUGCGCGAAAGCCAGGGGAGCAAACG
rnacentral:rRNA from 1 species